rnacentral:rRNA from 1 species
AUGAACGCUGGCGGCGUGCCUAAUACAUGCAAGUCGAGCGAACAGACGAGGAGCUUGCUCCUCUGACGUUAGCGGCGGCCGGGUGAGUAACACGUGGAUAACCUACCUAUAAGACUGGGAUAACUUCGGGAAACCGGAGCUAAUACCGGAUAAUAUAUUGAACCGCAUGGUUCAAUAGUGAAAGACGGUUUUGCUGUCACUUAUAGAUGGAUCCGCGCCGCAUUAGCUAGUUGGUAAGGUAACGGCUUACCAAGGCAACGAUGCGUAGCCGACCUGAGAGGGUGAUAGGCCACACUGGAACUGAGACACGGUCCAGACUCCUACGGGAGGCAGCAGUAGGGAAUCUUCCGCAAUGGGCGAAAGCCUGACGGAGCAACGCCGCGUGAGUGAUGAAGGUCUUCGGAUCGUAAAACUCUGUUAUUAGGGAAGAACAAAUGUGUAAGUAACUAUGCACGUCUUGACGGUACCUAAUCAGAAAGCCACGGCUAACUACGUG